rnacentral:rRNA from 1 species
AGAGUUUGAUCCUGGCUCAGAUUGAACGCUGGCGGCAGGCUUAACACAUGCAAGUCGAGCGGUAACAGAGAUAGCUUGCUAUCUGCUGACGAGCGGCGGACGGGUGAGUAAUGCUUGGGAAUAUGCCUUUGAGUGGGGGACAACAGUUGGAAACGACUGCUAAUACCGCAUAACGUCUACGGACCAAAGGGGGGGCUCUUCGGACCUCUCGCUCAUUGAUUAGCCCAAGUGAGAUUAGCUAGUUGGUAAGGUAAUGGCUUACCAAGGCGACGAUCUCUAGCUGGUUUGAGAGGAUGAUCAGCCACACUGGGACUGAGACACGGCCCAGACUCCUACGGGAGGCAGCAGUGGGGAAUAUUGCACAAUGGGCGAAAGCCUGAUGCAGCCAUGCCGCGUGUGUGAAGAAGGCCUUCGGGUUGUAAAGCACUUUCAGUUGUGAGGAAAGGGGUGUAGUUAAUAGCUGCAUCCUGUGACGUUAACAACAGAAGAAGCACCGGCU